rnacentral:rRNA from 1 species
UACGGAGGGUGCAAGCGUUGUUCGGAAUCACUGGGCGUAAAGGGCGUGUAGGCGGUCCGCUAAGUCUGAUGUGAAAGCCCGGGGCUCACCCCCGGAAGGGCAUUGGAAACUGGCGGACUCGAGUCCCGGAGAGGAAGGUGGAAUUCCUGGUGUAGCGGUGAAAUGCGUAGAUAUCAGGAGGAAUACCGGUGGCGAAGGCGGCCUUCUGGACGGUGACCGACGCUGAGACGCGAAAGCGUGGGGAGCAAACAGG